UUGCCCGCACUAGAAAAUGAAGUCUCCUCUUUGACACAGAACAGGUAGAGUACAGGAAGCAGCAGUACAAGUUUCCCCCACAACUCCUGCCAAUGUGCCACUACCAAGAACUGAAGGAACCACCUCGUAGGAAUGAGAGGGGUAGAGCACGCUCCUAGGUUUAUUCAAUUCUUGGCCUCU
ensembl:misc_RNA